rnacentral:rRNA from 1 species
AGCGAACGCUGGCGGCAGGCCUAACACAUGCAAGUCGAACGAAGUCUUCGGACUUAGUGGCGGACGGGUGAGUAACACGUGGGAACGUGCCCUUUGGUACGGAAUAACUCAGGGAAACUUGAGCUAAUACCGUAUGUGCCCUUCGGGGGAAAGAUUUAUCGCCAUUGGAGCGGCCCGCGUCUGAUUAGCUAGUUGGUGAGGUAAAGGCUCACCAAGGCGACGAUCAGUAGCUGGUCUGAGAGGAUGAUCAGCCACAUUGGGACUGAGACACGGCCCAAACUCCUACGGGAGGCAGCAGUGGGGAAUCUUGCGCAAUGGGCGAAAGCCUGACGCUGCCAUGCCGCGUGAAUGAUGAAGGUCUUAGGAUUGUAAAAUUCUUUCACCGGGGACGAUAAUGACGGUACCCGGACAAGAAGCCCCGGCUAACUUCGUGCCAGCCGCCGCAGUAACAC